GGAAAUGUGGCUUAGUGGUAGAGUGCUUGCCUAGAAUGCAUAAAGCAUGGGGUUCGAUUCUUCAGUACCA
rfam:Dipodomys ordii contig_60569, whole genome shotgun sequence.